AUUGAACGCUGGCGGCAGGCCUAACACAUGCAAGUCGGACGGUAGCACAGAGGAGCUUGCUCCUUGGGUGACGAGUGGCGGACGGGUGAGUAAUGUCUGGGGAUCUGCCCGAUAGAGGGGGAUAACCACUGGAAACGGUGGCUAAUACCGCAUAACGUCGCAAGACCAAAGAGGGGGACCUUCGGGCCUCUCACUAUCGGAUGAACCCAGAUGGGAUUAGCUAGUAGGCGGGGUAAUGGCCCACCUAGGCGACGAUCCCUAGCUGGUCUGGGAGGAUGACAAGCCACACUGGAGCUGAGAAACGGUCCAGACGCCUACGGGAGGCAGCAGUGGGGAAUAUUGCACAAUGGGCGCAAGCCUGAUGCAGCCAUGCCGCGUGUAUGAAGAAGGCCUUCGGGUUGUAAAGUACUUUCAGCGGGGAGGAAGGCGGUGAGGUUAAUAACCUCACCGAUUGACGUUACCCGCAGAAGAAGCACCGGCUAACUCCGUGCCAGCCGCCGCAGUAA
rnacentral:rRNA from 1 species